rnacentral:ncRNA from 1 species
AAUGUGCCAGUGGGCCACUUUUGGUAAGCAGAACUGGCGCUGUGGGAUGAACCAAACGUAAUGUUACGGUGCCCAAAUUAACAACUCAUGCAGAUACCAUGAAAGGCGUUGGUUGCUUAAAACAGCAGGACGGUGAUCAUGGAAGUCGAAAUCCGCUAAGGAGUGUGUAACAACUCACCUGCCGAAGCAACUAGCCCUUAAAAUGGAUGGCGCUUAAGUUGUAUACCUAUACAUUACCGCUAAAGUAGAUGAUUUAUAUUACUUGUGAUAUAAAUUUUGAAACUUUAGUGAGUAGGAAGGUACAAUGGUAUGCGUAGAAGUGUUUGGCGUAAGCCUGCAUGGAGCUGCCAUUGGUACAGAUCUUGGUGGUAGUAGCAAAUAAUCGAAUGAGACCUUGGAGGACUGAAGUGGAGAAGGGUUUCGUGUGAACAGUGGUUGAUCACGAGUUAGUCGGUCCUAAGUUCAAGGCGAAAGCCGAAAAUUUUCAAGUAAAACAAAAAUGCCUAACUAUAUAAACAAAGCGAAUAUAAUACACUUGAAUAAUUUUGAACGAAAGGGAAUACGGUUCCAAUUCCGUAACCUGUUGAGUAUCCGUUUGUUAUUAAAUAUGGGCCUCGUGCUCAUCCUGGCAACAGGAACGACCAUAAAGAAGCCGUCGAGAGAUAUCGGAAGAGUUUUCUUUUCUGUUUUAUAGCCGUACUACCAUGGAAGUCUUUCGCAGAGAGAUAUGGUAGAUGGGCUAGAAGAGCAUGACAUAUACUGUUGUGUCGAUAUUUUCUCCUCGGACCUUGAAAAUUUAUGGUGGGGGACACGCAAACUUCUCAACAGGCCGUACCAAUAUCCGCAGCUGGUCUCCAAGGUGAAGAGUCUCUAGUCGAUAGAAUAAUGUAGGUAAGGGAAGUCGGCAAAUUAGAUCCGUAACUUCGGGAUAAGGAUUGGCUCUGAAGAUUGAGAUAGUCGGGCUUGAUUGGGAAACAAUAACAUGGUUUAUGUGCUCGUUCUGGGUAAAUAGAGUUUCUAGCAUUUAUGUUAGUUACUUGUUCCCCGGAUAGUUUAGUUACGUAGCCAAUUGUGGAACUUUCUUGCUAAAAUUUUUAAGAAUACUAUUUGGGUUAAACCAAUUAGUUCUUAUCAAUUAUAACGAUUAUCAAUUAACAAUCAAUUCAGAACUGGCACGGACUUGGGGAAUCCGACUGUCUAAUUAAAACAAAGCAUUGUGAUGGCCCUAGCGGGUGUUGACACAAUGUGAUUUCUGCCCAGUGCUCUGAAUGUCAAAGUGAAGAAAUUCAAGUAAGCGCGGGUCAACGGCGGGAGUAACUAUGACUCUCUUAAGGUAGCCAAAUGCCUCGUCAUCUAAUUAGUGACGCGCAUGAAUGGAUUAACGAGAUUCCUACUGUCCCUAUCUACUAUCUAGCGAAACCACAGCCAAGGGAACGGGCUUGGAAUAAUUAGCGGGGAAAGAAGACCCUUUUGAGCUUGACUCUAUCUGGCAGUGUAAGGAGACAUAAGAGGUGUAGAUAAGUGGAGAAUAGACCUCGGGGAUCAGGGGUAAUGCUGAGCAGAGGGGGAGUAUUUUCUGUAAUCGUAGUCAUAUCA